CCUACGGGUGGCAGCAGUGAGGAAUAUUGGUCAAUGGGCGCGAGCCUGAACCAGCCAAGUAGCGUGAAGGAUGACUGCCCUACGGGUUGUAAACUUCUUUUAUAAAGGAAUAAAGUGAGGCACGUGUGCCUUUUUGUAUGUAUCUUAUGAAUAAGGAUCGGCUAACUCCGUGCCAGCAGCCGCGGUAAUACGGAGGAUCCGAGCGUUAUCCGGAUUUAUUGGGUGUAAAGGGAGCGUAGAUGGGUUGUUAAGUCAGCUGUGAAAGUUUGCGGCUCAACCGUAAAAUUGCAUUUGAUACUGGCAGCCUUGAGUACAGGAGAGGUAGGCGGAAUUCGUGGUGUAGCGGUGAAAUGCUUAGAUAUCACGAAGAACUCCGAGUGCGAAGGCAGCCUACUAAACUGCGACUGACAUUGAUGCUCGAAAGUGUGGGUAUCAAACAGGAUUAGAUACCCGAGUAGUC
rnacentral:rRNA from 1 species